rnacentral:rRNA from 1 species
UACCUACGGGGGGCAGCAGUAGGGAAUCUUCCACAAUGGGCGAAAGCCUGAUGGAGCAACGCCGCGUGGGUGAAGAAGGUUUUCGGAUCGUAAAGCUCUGUUGUAAGAGAAGAACGUUAGCGGGAGUGGAAAAUCCGCUAAGUGACGGUACCUUACCAGAAAGGGACGGCUAACUACGUGCCAGCAGCCGCGGUAAUACGUAGGUCCCGAGCGUUGUCCGGAUUUAUUGGGCGUAAAGCGAGCGCAGGCGGUUUGAUAAGUCAGAAGUAAAAGGCUGUGGCUCAACCAUAGUACGCUUUUGAAAC